CUGCUCAAGUGCAAGCUCAAGUUGCAGCACCACUUGGGCCAUUGUAGGCCGCUCUUUUGGAUCAUUAUGCAAACAUCUUUCAGCAACCCCAACAAAUACCUUCAGGCUAAGCGAUAACAUGCAUCCUCUUCAAGGGAUGAAUCCAUUGCUGGUCUCCAACACAAUACUUCCAACAGCACCACUCCAAAGGAAUACGUGUCGCUUUUCCUUGUUUUGCCAAACCCAAAUCUGAGACCUUGGCUAUGAGAUUUUCGUCCAGCAGGAUGUUUGAAGUCUUAACAUCUCGGUGUAUGACUCCAUUGCCAGUGUGAAGAUAGUCCAAACCUCGGCCAGCUCCAAUACAAAUAUUUAGGCAUUCCUUCCAGAUCGUAUUUCUGAUAGUGAAAAUUGUCUACACAGCUGUUCAGCUCUGAGGAAAGGAUGAUGAAACCCUUGCCGGUGGAAGGGCAUGUGGACUGCCAAGGCUGUUGUCUGGGUUACUAAUCUUGUAAAUUUCAAAUCCUUCAAGUAGUCUAUGCCCAUUGAUAAGUUCAUCAUUGGACUGCAGGUUGAUCGAUAGUCCUCUUUUACCUUCUUGUUUUAACCCUUUGAUCGCCACCACAUAAUCCCUAUAACUGGGGGAUCCAUGAUCAACCUGGUUUUUUACUAUCUCCAUGUUAGUAUCAACAACCAUUUCAUCAAUAAGAACUCUGAAAGUCAGUUCACCAUUCUCUGCGUUCUUGAGUUCUAGCUUGCUGAAAUAAAUCCUGACCAAGUACCUGAACCCGACAUCGACUGAUUGAUUCCAGAUUCAAUCUGUGGAUUAAUUCAAGUGCAGUUGUGUUAUCAAUGCAUACUGGAACUCUCUGGCCAACAACCUGAGCUCUAACAUCUCUCCCUCUAAAAUAGGAAAGAUGCACGGGAACUGAAAUGAUCUCAAUCCCAUUUAUGAAAGCAUAAGUCCUGUCUUGUGAUCGACUUUUUACAGUGCAUGAGCAGUAAGUGCAGCACUGAAGUUACUGAGCAGGAUGAAAGAUCCAGCUUCCACGGAGAAUUGGUGGUGGGAGAUUCUUGCUGUCUUGUGGGGAACUGUAUCAGCGUAGAUGGGCUUCUCAUCAAUGGCUGUUGAGGUAGUCGAUGAGCCCCUAAUUUGUAGUAAAGUGGAUGGUUUUGGUUUUACAUCUCCAAUCCAUUUCUUACCAUUGGCUGAUGCAGAAGUGGUAACUGAACCACAGUUGAUGGAAGUUCCGUUUAUGACGUCGGCUGGAUUGGAACUGGUAGCUGUAAAUAUAGUGAAAGAGAAGAUUAGGAGUAACAGAGCAAUUGGAACAGUUUCAAGAUGCUGGAAAGAACUCCUACAAUCACUCUCUGCCUUUCGGUAUCGCCAACAAUGGAAGUUUUAGUCGUUCGACUACCUCCUCCAUUGACGGCCUUAUAGAAAGAGAAUCUGCCGUGCAUUCAAUAGCCAAGUGUAAUAAGUCGACCAAAUCAUCUCGAGGGCCUACAUCCCACAACCAAGGAACAAAGAACUCCUCGGCACAACCUUCCCGCAAGAGUGUGCAUGCCCAAGCUACAAUUCUGAACCUACUUUCCAACGAAAAUGAUGCCCCCAGAGUUUUCUUGUCGUAGAUCAACUCGAGCAACACAAUCCCGUAGCUAUAAACAUCAGUUUUCUCAGAAACACUGCCUAUCAUUGCAUAUUCUGGAGCAACAUACGCAUCGUAAGUCUGUGAAGCCUCGAGAACCCUGGCUAGUCCGAAACCAGAGAGUGCAGGUAGUAAAUUGCUUGUGCAAUAUUCAGGGCAAUCUUGAAGAUUAUCCUCCAAUCGACAGGUCCAGAGAUAUGAUAUCCAAGCAAUGUCACGAGGUUGGGAUGACGAAGACGCCCGAGGGUUUUGAUUUCUGUGUCGAAUUUUUCGACACCUUGGAAAAGUCCAGCUGUUAACCGUUUUACGACAACAUGGACACCGGGAGUAAUCUCAGCUUUGUAUGUUGUCCCGGUGCGACCCUCACCAAUGCAGCUGGUUGCACUGAAAUUCCCGGAGGUAGCAUAUCCGUAAAUAACGCUAAUUUCCCCUUGUCAAUUGGGAGAUCAUCGACGCUAUUAUCAAAAGUACGGGCAUUCGAGCUAUCCUGUUUCUCAAGUUUCUCAAGCACGGACUGAAGUUGCAGUACCACCUGUGCCAUUGUUGGCCGUUUCUUCGGUUCGUCGUGCAAACAUCUGCCAGCGAUCGCCAAGAAUGCUUUAAGACAGUCUCCAGAGACCUCAUCCCAUAGACUUGGGGACACAAUCUGAUCAAUGCUCCCCUUCUUAACGUUGUCUCGAGCCCACUUUGUCAAAAUCUGCUCUUCUUCUAGAAGAUUUAAAUCCACCGCAGGUCUCCCACACAGUACUUCAAACAGCACCACCCCAAAGGCAUAGGCCGAAAUCCGAAACUUUUGCCACGAAAUUCUUGUCAAGAAGGAUGUUCGAAGCCUUUACAUCACGGUGUAUAAUUCCAUGACCUGUGUGAAGAUAGUCGAGCCCACGAGCAGCCCCUAUGCAGAUAUUAAGGCGUUGCUUCCACGAUAGAGUACCCGAUUAAGGAAACCAGAUUGCAAUGCCGAAGCUCAGAAAGUGUCUCGAUCUCAGUCAAAAACUCGCGCGCACCUUGCGUGGAGUUUGGUUUUAACCUUUUUACAGCAACUGGAGUUUGCCCGUCGUCAAUCAUGCCUUUGUAGACCUUACCAAAUCCACCCCUUCCUAUCAAGAGCGCGGCGCUGAAAUUUCUAGUGGCUACUCGGAUCUCGCCAAAUGAAAAAACACGGCAGACCUUUCGAGCCCUGGCUGAUGGCUUGUCUUCCUCCUUAGGAAUGGUAACUUCCCAAACCCCCUGCAACUUAUGUAUAAUGACAUUUACCAAAGUAAGCAUGAUCAUCGAAAGAUUUAGAGGCACGAAUCGACGACCAAGAGCCGAGAUCAAAGCCUUGAAAUGCAGCUGCAUCGGCGUAUGCUGAUGAGUAGUCGGCAGCAAGGGAUUCGGACCGGCAAGACUGUUAUCAUGGUUGCUCAACUUCAGUACUUCAAACCCAGCAAGAAGUGCACUUCCAUCAACAAUGUCGUCAUACAAAUGCAGGGAGAUCAGAAGAUCACGUUUAAUCUGCUGUUUUUGGCCUCUCAUGGCCACCAGGAAGUCCACAAACCAGGUACUGUCAUUCCCUUUCUUUCCCUUGCCAAUAUCCACAUUAGAAUGGGCAAUCUUUCCAUUAAUGAGAAGUUCAAACACCAAAUGAUCAGAGCCCACAAUGUUGAGCCCCAGCUUCGAGAAAUGAAGCCUGACCAUAUACUGAAAUCCCACGUCCACAGAAUUUGUAGUUUGUGGAUCCAUCUGCUGCUGCUGCUGCUCCCUAGCAUACAAUCGAUGGACUACUUCAAGUGCAGUAUUGUAAUCAACAUUCACCUGAGAUUCCCGACGGACAACUCGGACUCCGGUAUCAUCGCCGUGAAAAUAAGAAAGUCCUGCCGGAGAGAAGAUAAUCUUCCACGGUUCGUCUUGCGGAAAGUGCAGACAGAAUUCCUUAACAAAUGAAUUCGUACCUAGAGCUU